CACCUGUUCCCAUACCGAACACAGAAG
rnacentral:rRNA from 1 species